rnacentral:snRNA from 1 species
AGCUUUGCGCAGUGGCAGUAUCGUAGCCAAUGAGGUUUAUCCGAGGCGCGAUUAUUGCUAAUUGAAAAUUAAUUUAUCUUUAGUGAAUGGUGAUUGUUGUUAGGGGUACAUUUUCCUAUGUCAUUAUACACAAGGAGAUGUUAAAAGAUUAUUUUAAG